CGUCAGACCCCAGCACCUUUCUUCCCUCCGGAAGGGAAAAAUAAAAUAAAACGCUGACCAAAAGAAGAGAAUUAAGCAACGGGUUGGCCUGAAAUUGAUAAACAACUUAAAGUCUUUUGGGCCGAGAAGAUGGCUCAGUGUGUCAAGAGCAAUUGCUGUGCAAGCAUGAGGAUUUGAGAUUGAAUCCCUGGAACCAAGGGAGCUGGAGAGAUGUUUCAGCAGUUAAAAGCAUGUACCGCUCUUACAGAGGAUCUUGUUAUGCCAUGUUUGGUUGGUGUCCCUGGGAGGCCUCACCUCUUCUGGGAGACAAGGGGAGUGGAAGGGAUGCUAUGGUUGGGAUGCAUUGUAUGAGAGAAGAAUAAAUAAAAAGAAAAAAAAUCAAGUUUCAUUGUUCUGAAAAACAAACAAACAAA